GCAGGAGUGGUUGACCUCUGCUAAUAUUUCUCUGAAACCGGCGACAAACUCCUUUCAUGCGAACACUAUGAAUCACCUAGAUGACACACCAGCCGUGAGAGGAAAAGGCAACCUCAAGGACAGACCAGAAUGUCUAUCCAUUUACAACUCUGUGACAGGAUUGUUAGCAUCUAGUCAAAGGCAACUCAGAUAUAUCGAUUAAAACAAUACUGUGGUCAGAGAAGUGAAAAGACACCUGUGACGAGGAGGAGGGCGUGGCCGGGCCAUGAUGGAGCACGGCCGGCGCUGAAUCAGCUGAUCAGCGGUAGAGCGAGAUAAGGGGCAGCCGGAGAUGCCGGUUGGAGAGAGAAAGAUGCAAGUGGCCGCAUUGUAUGUGUGUCUGUGUCCUUAUGUUUUAUGUUGUUUUUAGUUUAUUUAUAUCAUUAAAGUUUAUGUUUACUGUUCAGCCGGUUCCCGCCUCCUCCUUGCCUGUCCUUUAACUGUUACAGUGGUGCUGAAACACGAGAGGGAGAAGGGAUGUGCUGUCGCUGAGUCCUCGCCGCUGCCAUCCGCCAGGGGAGCAGCCGCGGCUGUCUACCUGGGGAUGGAAGGGUCGCUGCCGGCCGCCGAGAGCCAGAGGAUCGUUGCCGAGAAGGGGAGGAGCGGUUCCAUCCGCCAGGGGCUGGAGGACUCGCUGCCAUCUGCCGGGGGAGGAGCGAGCUGGCGUCCGCCAGAGGAUGGAGAAGCAGUUGAGGACCAGUCGACAGCGCGUCAGGGAGCCAGCGAGCAAGUUCUUCUCUCUCUCUCUCUCUCUCUGUGUGUCUCCGCUCACCCUUUCCCUCUCCCCACGCCUCCCCUCGUCUCUCCCCCAGGUUCACAGGAGGCGGGGUGGACCACUGGCUGACAGAACAGCCGG